rnacentral:rRNA from 1 species
AUUGAACGCUGGCGGCAUGCCUUACACAUGCAAGUCGAACGGUAACAGGUCUUCGGAUGCUGACGAGUGGCGAACGGGUGAGUAAUACAUCGGAACGUGCCUAGUAGUGGGGGAUAACUACUCGCAAGCGUGGCUAAUACCGCAUUAGAUCUACGGAAUGAAGCAGGGGAUGGCAAGACCUUGUGCUAGUAGAGCGGCCGACGGCAGAUUAGGUAGUUGGUGUGAUAAAAGCUUACCAAGCCGACGAUCUGUAGCUGGUCUGAGAGGACGAUCAGCCACACUGGGACUGAGAAACGGCCCAGACUCCUACGGGAGGCAGCAGUGGGGAAUUUUGGACGAUGGGCGAAAGCCUGAUCCAGCAAUGCCGCGUGCAGGAUGAAGGCCUUCGGGUUGUAAACUGCUUUUGUACGGAACGAAAAGCCCCGGGUUAAUACCCUGGGGUCAUGACGGUACCGUAAGAAUAAGCACCGGCUAACUACGUGCCAGCAGCCGCCGUAA